AGUUGUUGUUGACUAGCUUUGCAGGCAGGCUCCCUGCACUUCUGUGCGGCCAACUGUCAUGGGGCUGUCUUUUCAUUGUCCAUUUGCCUAGUAAUUUGCUAGUUAUGGAUGAUUUCCAUCGGUCGCCUGUAUGGUUCUACUCUUUUGGGUAGUGCAUGAUUGUUUUGUUGAUGCUUAUUUAGCCUGCUCUGUUAAUGUUAUUGUUGACAGGACGGCCGAGAUGUCAGCGAAUUUCAAGUGCUUCCAUGUGCGUAGCCAUGGUAAUGCACUUGGAUGUUCGCUGGGUCUCAUGGAUGCGGUCCCUAUUGUGAGCUCUACGGGCUUCUUGCCCGCAGAACCUGUGAGGUUGCCCCUGCGGAGACCAUUGCUCUAUUGCUUCACCGACACAUCAUCGGUUUAAUCGCCAUGUUGUAGUUGUUGCGAUUUGGGUGUUGUUCUUUGCCUCUGUGGCGUGCCUCUUAGAACAAAUGACUUACGAAGCUGGUUUUGCGUUGUCGCAAGGCUCCUCCCAAUUGGGCGGUGGCUGGAGACCUCGUUCCUGCUCUCGUUUAUGAUGUGCUACCUGGUUGAUCCUGCCC
rnacentral:misc_RNA from 1 species